GAUGAACGCUAGCGAUAGGCUUAACACAUGCAAGUCGAGGGGCAGCAUGGUCUUAGCUUGCUAAGGCUGAUGGCGACCGGCGCACGGGUGCGUAACGCGUAUGCAACUUGCCUCACAGAGGGGGAUAACCCGUCGAAAGACGGACUAAUACCGCGUACACUCUAUGUUGGGCAUCCAAUGUAGAGGAAAUGAAAUUCGCUGUGAGAUAGGCAUGCGUCCCAUUAGCUAGUUGGUGAGGUAACGGCUCACCAAGGCGACGAUGGGUAGGGGAACUGAGAGGUUGAACCCCCACACUGGUACUGAGACACGGACCAGACUCCUACGGGAGGCAGCAGUGAGGAAUAUUGGUCGAUGGGCGAGAGCCUGAACCAGCCAAGUCGCGUGAAGGAUGACUGUCUUAUGGAUUGUAAACUUCUUUUAUACGGGAAUAACAAGAGUCACGUGUGGCUCCCUGCAUGUACCGUAUGAAUAAGCAUCGGCUAACUCCGUG
rnacentral:rRNA from 1 species